GAAAUCUGUAUAGCUUGUCAGUAAAAUAAUGAGUAUGAAUGCGUUAACACGCAGUUUUUUGUAUGUUUUAUGCAUUUCAACCUUGGUACUUUCGACGCUUGUGAUAGGCUGCGGUGUGUUGCUAAUUCUCAACCAGAAUAAAAAUCCCACAUCCUUAGAUAUCCCAGUGAUUGUAUCCGGCGUGGUAAUCUUCUUAGUGUCGUUCUUCGCUUCCUGCACAGCCCUUAAAGACCACAUCAAACAGCUAAUCGGCCUCUGCCUCUAUGUUUGCCUGUGUGGCUUCCUGUGCCAUCAAUUCCGAUAAGAUUAUUUACUCAGAAAACAAUCCAAGCCGAGCGGAGUUGCCAAACCACAUCAAAAUUUAUGUGAGCUCCUCCAAGAAAUGGAUCCUGUUUGUGAACCACCCCCUUCUGUAUCUAUUAACGUUGCAAUAAAAACCGCAGCGAAAUUAAGGAAGCCGUGAUUCAUCCCCGUUUCGAUUUCCUGCCGAAAAAGCGCCACCUCUCCAAAUUUCCGUUUAAUAAUUUUCUCCCAAACAGCCAUAAACCCGCCGAUUUAACCCGAUCGAUUCUGCAUGGAUGCGAGACGAACACUUAUUCGCAGCGAGAAUCACCAAAAGGCAAAUUGAAUUACGGAAGGGAAUUAGGAGAGAGGGUGGCUCGCUUGAGGUUACGAUUAUUGCUGGAACAUUCGCAGACACGAGCUUCCGAAGGACAAAAUACUCGCAAAGAAAAAUCGACGGUCUUUGCUCGGGAUCAAACUUUGAUCGGGAGGACGCUCCCAUUAGGGACGGCCGGGGCUUUGGCCUGUUACGGGUCGGAGCUGUGGAGAAGAACUCCUAGUGGCGGAAUUAAGGGGCAAGUUAAGUCUCAAAGAACCGAGAACCAAUGACGUUGAGACAUUUUUUACCAAGAAGUCGAUACUCCACUGAAAAGAACGAUUUUUUUUCUAGACAGCUUUAAACAGCAGAAAUGUAUUUUUCCAAUAAUGUUUUAAGUGUAUAAAAGUCAAAGUUAUACAAUGAAUAAAG